UAUUCCGAUUCCCAGGUCUUUCUCCAGACUUGCUGCUUUGUAAUCUCCAGAUGAUGGCUUGGGUGUUUUUAACAAGCAUGAUUAGGAAACACUGGCACAGAGGAAAGUGCAUCCUAAAUCAGGGGAUUUGGCCCAUUAACCUAAUCCUCUAUUGGCCUUCUGCUGAAAAUGUUUGCUUUGAUUUUUGUCUGGUGAAUUCCAUCCAUGCUAUGUUUGCAGACUCCUUGAUAACAUGUGGGGAACUUACUUGGUGGAAACACAGAACAUCAUAACUCAACAUGACCCUUUAAAGAGUCAUGGAGGAGGACAUCAAGUACCAAUUCUUUUCUGGAUAUCGUGCCGGGCAUUUUUACAUGCAUUGCCUCAUUGAUUUCCCCACAGCAACUUCAGGUGCCUGCUGUGAGCCCUCUGCAGGUGGCACCCUGAGAGCCGGCGCAACUGGAGGAAGCACAAAGGAAAAGAAAAAA